rnacentral:rRNA from 1 species
GGAUUAGAUACCCUGGUAGUCCACGCCGUAAACGAUGAGUACUAGUUGUCAGAGGUAUUGACCCCUUUGGUGACGCAGCUAACGCAUUAAGUACUCCGCCUGGGAAGUACGGUCGCAAGACUAAAACUCAAAGGAAUUGACGGGGGCCCGCACAAGCGGUGGAUUAUGUGGUUUAAUUCGAAGCAACGCGCAGAACCUUACCUAGGCUUGAAAUCCUGAGAACCCCGAGUAAUGUUGGGGGUGUCCGCAAGGAAACUCAGUGACAGGUGCUGCAUGGCUGUCGUCAGCUCGUGCCG